UGGAAACAGUGAUAAAAAUACUACAUGUAUGUAUCCUUCAGAUCUUCAGUCUUCAGUCCUUAUCCAUUUGACAUUCCUUAACAGUAUUUUCUAGGUUUCUUUUUGAAGUACCAUUAUAUAAAGUGGGCAGUAUAGAUUGUGAAGAUUGGAUUUAGCUAUCUCCUGAUUGUAACAAUGAAGAUACUUAGCUCUUUCUUUAUUGUGAAGAUAAAAUUGUAAUCUCCUGGUUGUAACAAUGAAGGUACUUAGCUCUUCCUUUAUGGUGAAGCAAGAAUUGUAAGCUACAAUCUAUUUUUAGAUUUUAACUACAAAAAGGUGUUAAGUAACUACAAAAGGCAAAUUUACCAAAAGAUGUGUUAAGUAACCCAAAAAGAUAAAAUCUAACCAAAGAAGGUGAGAACUAAAGAAUGUGCAGUCCUGGAGAAAAGCAUCUGCUGUGAUUGGUACAGGUGAAAGUUUAGGGGAGAUCACACAAGAGAAAAAGAUCUUUAAAAAGAGGAACAAAAGGCAGGAGAGCAUUUGAUUCAUUUGAUCAUUCAGAUUCAAAUCAUUCAUCCAGACUCAGACAUUUGGACAGUCAUUCAGAGAUUCCACACUGACUUGGAGGAGCACCUGGAAGACCGACCCUUGAGGAGUGAGCAAAAGGCAGACACCCAGACUUCUUUUAGACUGUCACCUUUGGAAUCCUGAUGAUUUGAUUGCUCUUCUCAGAGAGCAGAAACAGAAAAGAAGGGGAAGGGAAAGAAGGUAUGUUCUUUGCUACAUGAAAUGGAGAUGGCCUGGAAAUGGUAUGAUUCACCUGGAUCUAGAUAAGAUUAUGUGAAUGCUCACCAAUUGAGUAUUGACAUUCAACAGUAUUAAUUAGCUGUGCCAAAUCACAUACAGGAAGAAGGUCCAAAGUCACUUUUGUCACUAUCAUCUCUCACUAAAUUUUACUGAAUGAUCUCUCAUCCGGGUUCACAUCAAUAGUCUUUGGGGAAGAAGCAUAUCAAAAGUUCAGUAGUUGAGUUCUAUCUACUGUUUAUCUUAAAGUGAUAUUGUUGUUUCUUUCCUCUUUCCAGCCUGAGGCAUUCUUCUACCUUGAACCUUCUGACAAUUCUAUUUUACCAAUCUCUUUUUUUAAAAUAUUUAAGCCCCUUUACUUUGUUUUUAAGCUAUUUUGCUUUUCUUUUUAAGAACAACACUUUUUUUUUUGUCUCUGGCAACGUGGAGAGCUGAAAAGAAUUUCUUAUGCUCCUUUACCUUCUUUUGCAGAAUAGACCAGCCAGUACUUUCAGGAUAGAUAAUAAUCAGUAGACUAGGACAGAAACAGAACAAGUAUAUACUUCAUUGAAGUUACAAACAAGUCCCAUAUUCCUUGGGGUAUUGUGCUUACUAG
rnacentral:lncRNA from 1 species